rnacentral:lncRNA from 1 species
GGCCACUGAUUAUCUGAGAGAGAAACCUUAGUGGAAAGGAGGGCAAACCCUUCACUGAAGGAGCUGAGGAACGCAGGGAAGAGGCAGCAGCGAGAAAUCGGGGACAGCGGCUCCGAGUCAGAGGACAGAAGAGAAGGAGGCUCGAGGAGAAGCCUUCUGACAACUGCUGUUGGGUACGGCGGUGGCAGACGACCUGAGACCAGCACACAGACAGCAAGGCAGCAGAGGGGGGCCGGCUGAUGCGGAGACCGUGGGUGUGCAGUGGCACACGUCAGCCUGGCGGAGACCGUGGGUGUGCAGUGGCACACGUCAGCACGGCCAUGCACCUGACUUUCCAGGGCUUGGGCACAGGAGCAGAGGACGCAGAUCACAGGAACUAGAGAGGAGCCAAACCGCUGUUUGCAAAUCAGUCGUUUCCUAUUUUUCUGCCAUAUCUGAGAAGAAACUGACGAUGCUGCCAAGAUUUUUGAAAAAGGGAAGUGAAGCCUGGAGAUGGGGGGUGGGGACAGUGUCCCGUAGACUGACAGAAAAGGGAGAAAUUGCCAGUCCGAAGAUCUUGAUGCUGGGUAAAAGGUGGAGAAACUGAGGCUCAGAGACAGCAGCUAACUUGCGCAGUGUCAGGCAGCUGGUGGAUCCGCCCCACAGCUUGUUCAACAAUCACAAGGCCGGGAUUGAGAGGCUGAGGGUUGAGUAAUGAAAGGAUGGGGGCAGCGGACUCAGGAGGGAGCUGUUCUCCUAGACUGGGUUGGAGGGUCGGUGAGAUGGCGAGCUGGAUGGAGACGGUCUGACACAUGAGUGAUGGUUACUGCACCAUGGUGGCUUGGAGUGGGGAUAAAGAUACCAGCCGAAGGAGGA